GGGGAUGUCCGGUAUCGACAGGAAAGAUCACCGGUUUGUAAGCAUGCCGGAGCAAGGUUGUUCACUCCGCAAAAAAUGAUGACCGAUUUAUAAAUGGCGAUAAUAAUUUCGCAUUAGCUGCGUAAUCUAGGAUUAUAAAGCUUUUAGUGCCGCCCGGAUGACGUCCGAUACAAGCCGGUAGCCGCACUUAACCAGACCCGCGGACUAGGAGAGUGGGAUGCUUCGACCACAAUCUGAAACAUUAGAAGAUAAGAUGAAGGCGCCGUUGGCUUUUGUACCUGCCUGAUUCCGAAAAUCCGAACAAAAGCUAAGCAUGUAGAAAGCACUCUGUUGCUUUGUCUGGACCAGGGUUCGACUCCCUGCAUCUCCACAA
rfam:Bacteroidetes bacterium OLB9 TZ09_BCD002CONTIG000021, whole genome shotgun sequence.